CAAUAGCGUGUAUUAACGUUGUUGCAGUUAAAAAGCUCGUAGUUGGAUUUCUGGAGGGAGCGUCGGCCCGUAUUUACGAGUGCGUGACGUCUCUGUCCAUCCUUGCGGGAAGGCACGGCAUUGAUUUGUUGUGUCGGAUCGCAUCAUUUACUGUGAAAAAAUUAGAGUGUUCAAAGCAGGCUUUCGCUUGAAUACAUUAGCAUGGAAUAAUAAGAUAGGACUUUGGUGCUAUUUUGUUGGUUGAGCCUAAAGUAAUGAUUAAUAGGGAUAGUUGGGGGCACCUGUAUUGCGUUGUCAGAGGUGAAAUUCUUGGAUUUACGCAAGACAAACAGCUGCGAAAGCGUCUGCCAAGGAUGUUUUCAUUAA
rnacentral:rRNA from 1 species